UACGGAGGGGGCUAGCGUUGUUCGGAAUUACUGGGCGUAAAGCGCACGUAGGCGGCUUUGCAAGUUAGAGGUGAAAGCCCGGGGCUCAACUCCGGAAUUGCCUUUAAAACUGCAUCGCUAGAAUUGUGGAGAGGUAAGUGGAAUUCCGAGUGUAGAGGUGAAAUUCGUAAAUAUUCGGAAGAACACCAGUGGCGAAGGCGACUUACUGGACACAUAUUGACGCUGAGGUGCGAAAGCGUGGGGAGCAAACAGG
rnacentral:rRNA from 1 species